UAUUAGGGGUUGUUAGCAAAACGGCCGCAAACUGUAAAUUCAACGGUAAAGCGGUAACGCUUUUGCUGGUGCGAAUUAAGUGUUAUCGUUCACUUUAUCGUUGAAUUUAAAGUUAGUAGCCUUAUGACUAAUGUCCU